UACGGAGGGGGCUAGCGUUGUUCGGAAUUACUGGGCGUAAAGCGCGUGUAGGCGGACGUGUAAGUCAGGUGUGAAAUCCCCGGGCUCAACCCGGGAACUGCCUUUGAUACUGGCGAUCUUGAGUCCGGAAGAGGUGAGUGGAACUCCUAGUGUAGAGGUGGAAUUCGUAGAUAUUAGGAAGAACACCAGUGGCGAAGGCGGCUCACUGGUCCGGUACUGACGCUGAGGUGCGAAAGCGUGGGGAGCAAACAGG
rnacentral:rRNA from 1 species